GUUCGAAUACCUCUGACAACAGCCCAUCUGUUCAAUACGUAACUAUUUAAUUAAGUAAAUUCCUGCAUGUCUAAUUAGCUCCUGUGAGUAGUUCAUAGGCCUCGUUCCCUUUCGCAGAGCUGGGGUUCUAGGAUUCCACGGAGUAGCAGAGACCUCUGCAGCCUUCUGGGGAAAUGUGCUGUGUUUCCGCAGCAUUCUGACCACAAUGCCAGAAGACAAUACGGAAUUACUCAGUACAUGAAGCACCAGGAAGAUGACAACAGAAGAGAGAGGACCCAGACAUUGGAAUCAGCAGCCACCAGGUGCAAUCUCCAACAUGUGCGGGCUUUGGGAAAACACAAUCGGGCAAGUGAAGUUUGUUGCAGACAAGUUCUUCUUCCCCUCUGCCACAACCUCCUCCAAGGUUACAGGGAGAGCACCCUGUCUGUGAAGAAGCAGGUUCUCAUCUGAUACCAAAUCUGCUGGCACCUUGAUCUUGGACUUCCCAGACUCCAGGACUGAAGAUCACAGAUUGACAUCAGCAGGAAAACUUGCCAGGCAGCAGGAGGAUCCAUUUGAAAACUCACGAGAAAAAGGCCCUUGAGGCCUUUUUCCUGGUUAUUGAAGACAUCUUAGGAAACACUUAUGGUGACAAUUAAUCAAGCAAAAAUAGAUCCAGUUUUUCUGAAGAUCAAGCUUAACAUGUGUGCCAUGCUUUAAAAUGUCUUUCCAGGCACUCUCUCCUGCCCACGGAUCUUGCUUGGGAAAGGAAUGGGGCAAGUGGAAAUGGCCAUUUCUUAGAUGAACACAUCAGGGACUUGCUCCAGUCUGAAGUCUAUACAGAGCUAGGCUUUGAAUCCAGUCACGUAACUGCAUAGCAGCAAAUCAGCCUUUCAGAAUAUUGCAGGAUCAGCAAUGAAAUUCCCUUUGCCAGAGAAAUGGACAAACAAGGAAGCAACAAUGGUGAUGGUGGAAGUGUUCUUCAAGUCUAAGUUUGGGUUCUAGAAACAUCUGGCCAAAUAACGUCUUUCACAACUAAAAUAGAAUAUAAAGAAGCCAUUUGACCUGCCUCAGUUAUCAUGGUCAUCAUGACAAGCUGCAGCAGGACAAAUCAGCUUAACAAUUUCGGAAACUGCCAGAAAUGCUAUUUGGAUUAAUUUUUAUUUGGGAGUUGGCUAAAACUGGUCACAUCCCCAAAUACCUCAAGAUAAACAACAUAGCAUUAUCAUACAAAUCUAUAUUCACCAAAUUAGGUUAAAAUAGGCUGUUUUGAGAAGGUUGAAUUUUUUUAUGGGGAUUAUUCCCAAAAUACGUUUAGACACAAGAAGUUCAACUUUUCUUUUUUCCAUAUUUGAUGUCAAUCAAACUAAUUACUACAUGUUUGGAAUUGCAUUAAUUGUAUUCUUCAGUUACCUAUAAAAUUUAAUUAUCAUGUCUUUAUGGAAAUUUUAAUAUCAGAUAUAAAGAAUGGCAUAUUUAAAAUGACAUUUUAAUACUUUAUAAGAAGCAACAGAAAUUCGACUUCCAAAGCACCUCUCAGUACUACCAUUGGAGUACAUCUAUAUUUUUCUGUCAGAAUACUAUCCAAAGCAAGCAUAAGUAAUCCUUAUUUUCACGAUACAUUGAUGCUCAAAAGUUGUGUGUUCAGCAUGUCUACAAAGUAAAUUACCGUAUAUUUGAAACAGCAGACUAAAACUGAAGUAACAUCUGGAAAAAAUUGCCCUAAUUGCUAGCCCCUAAAUUCAUCUGACCUUGACACUCUCAUCUGAAUUUAAAAGUGUUUUAAAUUCUUAGCCAAUCAAUUCAAGCCAGAACUGAAUUCAUAUGUCUUCAGAAACUGCUAAUCUAGAACAAUGUAACUAGAAUAGAUUCCUGAUCAAACUUUGGUUUUGUUCAGGUAUCCACUCAUUUCCUAGGUGACCCAGAGGCCACAACUCACAACUCCACCCCUUCCCGUGGCUGGUCCAGGCUGUGCAGAUCUUGUAGUCACAAAGUCCUGGCAAUGGGCUGGGGGUGGGAUCUGACCUAGUGCUGACCAACAUGUCAAAAACAGAUGGCUGCAGAACCCUCUGGAAAAGCUUCCCUCAUUCUUAAGGAAUCCUGUGAAGAGAUGGUCUGUUUCUGUCCUGUUCCCUGGAUGUCAAAUGUCUGGGUUUGAGACCCAGAACUCCUGAAGCCAUCUCACAACUACAAGGGGAGCAGAUGUAGCCACUGAGGAUGGCCAAGCAGAGGGAGGGAGGACCUUUCCUGCCAGCAUCGCCAGCGGCUGAAUCACAGCCCAGAACCCCACAGCACCCUAAACGUCCUCUUAACAAAUGUAAUACGUUGUCUUACUGUUUGUGCCUGUGUGAAAAGUCCUCUUUGCUUGCAGUGAAGGCAUCCUAGUUGAUAAACAUGAAAUUUGAAAAUUGGAGAUUUCUUGGAACCAACA
rnacentral:lncRNA from 1 species